GUGGGGAAUCUUAGACAAUGGGCGCAAGCCUGAUCUAGCCAUGCCGCGUGAGCGAUGAAGGCCUUAGGGUUGUAAAGCUCUUUCAGGGGGGAAGAUAAUGACGGUACCCCCAGAAGAAGCCCCGGCUAACUCCGUGCCAGCAGCCGCGGUAAUACGGAGGGGGCUAGCGUUGUUCGGAAUUACUGGGCGUAAAGCGCACGUAGGCGGACCAGAAAGUCAGGGGUGAAAUCCCGGGGCUCAACCCCGGAACUGCCUUUGAAACUCCUGGUCUUGAGGUCGAGAGAGGUGAGUGGAAUUCCGAGUGUAGAGGUGAAAUUCGUAGAUAUUCGGAGGAACACCAGUGGCGAAGGCGGCUUACUGGACUGUAACUGACGCUGAGGCGCGAAAGUGUGGGGAGCAAACAGGAUUAGAAACCCUUGUAGUCC
rnacentral:rRNA from 1 species